UGUGCUCUCGUUCUCUCCACAAAUUAAUAACGUUUUACCACUUUGUUCAUCUUUCAUACGGCGAUGAAAUUCCUUGUUAACUAACUCGACGUUCGACAGUUUUUAGAAAAAAUAAAAUAACAAAUCGAAUUAUACUACGAUUACAGUAAAAAUUAUAAUAAGAAAAAGUACUUUGAUCUACGUGGAUUUAAUUGCGCGUAAUUUAUGCGCAAUAGCGCGUGCUAAUUGUCAAGACAGAAUCAUUUGAUGAUAAUACCAACUUCGGACAACCGUACAGUGCAACCUUAGGUAAGAAAAUAAAAAAGGGACGAUGAGUUGCGAAUGGGACCAGUUAGCUGUUCGGAAGCUACCACCCAAGGAGCUGAAAGCUAAACUGCAGUUACCGGUAAAAACGUUAACGGGUCCGGGACCAACUAAUUGCUCGAUGCGAGUUCUUCAGAGCUUACAGAAUCAAGUUCUCGGUAAUCUUAACCUCGAAGUUGGUCAGUUGAUAGAUGAAAUUAAAGCUGGUCUCCAAUACGUAUUCCAAACUAAAAACAGACUCACUUUGGUAUUGAGUGGUUCAGGUCAUGGCGGUAUGGAAGCGUGCUUAGGAAAUUUACUCGAACCCAAUGACACUAUAGUCGUUGUCCAAAUUGGAAUCUGGGGUGAACGCGCCGCUGACAUGUCUAGACGACUCGGGGCACGCGUUCAGUUGAUAAUACCAAAUCAAAACGAGGCUGUUACGUUGAACGAAUUGGAAGCCGCCUUGGAGAGAUACAGACCCGUGGUGGUUUUUAUGGUCCACGCUGAAUCGUCUACGGGCGUGAAACAGCCAUUGGAAGGUUUCGGAGAGCUUGUUCACAGGUACAAUGCCCUUUUGAUCGUCGACGCGGUUGCAUCACUCGGCGGCGAGCCAUUCUUUAUGGAUUCUUGGGGCAUCGAUGCAGCUUAUGCCGGCAGCCAAAAGGCCCUCGGCGCCCCCGCAGGACUCGCUCCUGUUUCUUUCGGUCCACGGGCAGAAGAGAAAAUGUUUGGGAGAGUGACGAGACCGGUCUCCUACUAUUGGGACAUAAGCAUCCUCGGCGUCUACUGGAAAUGUUUUGGAAACGAAGAAAGCGUGUACCAUCACACGGUAAGCACCACUCUGCUGUACGGUUUACGCGAGGCCUUGGCGGAAGUCGCCGAAGAGGGUCUUCCAGCAAUUUGGUCCAGACACGCCGCUGCAGCUGACAAAUUAAGAAAGGGUCUCGAAUUACGGGGGCUUCGGAACAACGUGAAAAUUCCACGGUAUCAAUUAUCCACGAUAACCGUUAUAGAGCUGCCACCUGGCGUCGACGACAAAAUCGUCGUAAAACGAGCCAUGGACAAGUACAAAGUCGAAAUCAGCAGAGGUCUAGGACCCAGCACGGACAAAGCGUUGCGAAUAGGUUUGUUAGGAAGCAACGCAACAUCUAAAACAGUUGACCUCGUUCUACGUGCUAUCGACGAAGGGCUGCAACAUGCUUUACGAUUCAAACUAUAAAAAAGAAAUUCAGCAAGCAUUAUUUAGCCAUAACCAAAGUUUUGGUCCCGCAUGUCCAUCGUUUACAGAGAUCGUUGAACGAUAAAUUAUUGGCUUCAUUUGAAUAUUCCGAAUGAUUGUUAUUACUCCAUUGUACUUGGGUUUUCGAAUAAGUUGAAUAAUUGAAUGGCGAUUUCUGAUCAAACAUGUAGUAUGCUUUACUUGUUAUAACACAUUUAUGUAAGAAGCAUACCGUUUGUUUGACCACAGUAAUCAUUUCUGCAUGAAAGAUUCGAAUGGUUCAAACAAAAGCUACUUUGCGAAUUUUCUUUGACACAUCGCGUGCAACCACGGUAAGCAUCAUUUUCACCAAAGCGAUACGAGUUGCGGAACGCCAGGCGUAAACCGAUGCCAACGUUUGAAAAAUAAUGCGUAAUGCGCGAAAAUCGUUGAUAGUCGCGUGUUCCAAUCAAUAAACCGGUCACACAAACGAGACUCAGUCGAGUGUAUCUCUGUUUAUUAAUGGAAAUACUGAAAUCGGCAUACAAUUAUUUCUAAUAUAUAAUUAUUCGUUUUACGUUCAAUUAUACGAUUUAUUACAUUAAUUAGCAAUAUCAACAAUUGAUUAGUCUCACUUUCGUUCUCAUUCUUUCGAUUCCCUCAUUCUCUCUCCCCCCUACCUCGCUUGAUAUAUCCAACGAAUGAUAAGACACAUAUCCCAACCAUACGUGUAAUGCGGUUACCACAAGUAAAUUGAAGUAACGACGGUACCAGCGAAUUAAUCAUUAAUUAUGAUUUAAUUGACAAUCGUUUUGGCAUUGUACGGAACCAGACGUAGUGUCCCCCGUACUAUAUCCAUUCUUGUUCAACAUAUAUAAAAUUUAAGACUUGUCUCGUGUUGUACAUGAAACAUUAUUAGUCGAUAAUUAAUCACCUAAUGUAACUUGUCGCUUCUCUCGGAAGACAUCGAUGCUAGAGAGGUAAUACAGUCGCUGGUAAAUGUGGAUUUAUUGCUAUCUAAUAAACGAUUUCUUUCGGAGUCACCGAUAACUUCAGUGAGAGUGUAGACUCGCUAUUAAUAGGUUAGAAUCGCUGUACAAUUCACUUCGACUGUGACACGUGCAUUUACAAUUGACGUUAAACGCAUUACCAACGUUGGAUUAACCGACAUGUCACGAUUAACAAGGCACAAUCGAUAUUUCGCUUAUUAUAUCAUUUUAACCUCGUAUCGAGCGAAUACAUACGACGCAUGUCGCAACAAUCGUUAUUUUAAUAUUUGCACCGUUUAUAUUUACGUGAUUUCAGUAACGUCGUUUCGGGCGAGUUAGUGGAGUAAGAAAAAUAACGCGAGCGUAAUGCAUUUCAGGACAAUACAAUAUCUCUCAACGGCGAUGUUAGCGCUUCUCCGUCGAGAUGGAUAUAACAUGCGCAUAUUUAGGAGGAUGACUUUUAACACUUAGCCAGCAGAGAGGCGUGAAAGAAAAUAUUUUUGAAAAACCUGCCACGAGAUAUGUUUUGCUACAAAUUUUUUAAAAAUAUUUCUCGGUGAUUCUGUACAAAAUACGAAUACAUAUUUACAAUAUCAGCGAUGAACAUUAAUUAACACUUUACGUUUUUCCAGCUUCCUACAUGAACGAACAUAUUAUUACAUCAAUGGUCAUUGAAGUGUUAAUAUUGGCGUUCAAUUACGCUAAUUUAUAUUUAUACUUAAAUUAUGUAUACACUGUAUGCGACGAAUUCUUUGAAGUUUCCAAACUAAAAGUUCAAUAAUAUAACAAUUUCCACGUUGUCGUCUGAUGGCCAAGUGUUAAAUAACCGUGAAUA